rnacentral:rRNA from 1 species
CAGUAGCCGCGGUAAUACAGAGGGUGCAAACGUUGUUCGGAAUUACUGGGCGUAAAGCGUGUGUAGGCGGCUUCGCAAGUCGGAUGUGAAAGCCCCGGGCUCAACCCGGGAAGUGCACUCGAUACUGCGGAGCUAGAGUGUCGGAGAGGUUGGUGGAAUUCUCGGUGUAGAGGUGAAAUUCGUAGAUAUCGAGAGGAACACCGGUGGCGAAGGCGGCCAACUGGACGAACACUGACGCUGAGACACGAAAGCGUGGGGAGCAAACAGGAUUAGAUACCCCGGUAGUCCCUGUCUCUUAUAU